GCGGGUAUAGUUUAAUGGCAAAACCUCAGCCUUCCAAGCUGGUGAUGUCGGUUCGAUUCCGUCUACCCGCA
rnacentral:tRNA from 1 species